AUGGCAACGGCGAGCCCGGACGCCGGCGGCGGAGUGGAUGGCGGAGGUGGCGAUGGUGCAGGAGGGUUGCUUGGCGGCGGAGAUCCAAAGCCACCCGAGGAGGUCUGCGGGAGCUCUAACCCUAGCCAGGCCCCACGGAGCAGACCACCGUCCCCGUCGCUGGAGUACCAUGUCGCCGGCGCUCUGGCCCGUGCUGUGCAGGCUACUCCGUCGAGGAGCCACCACUGGGCAUCUGCAUUCGGCGGUGUGGACUUGUCUGAUGAUGUUUGGGAGGUUAGACUGCACUUUCAUGAUAUGGAUAACUUGGAAAGGACUAUGUGUGUUUCAGACAUCACUUUUUACAAUCUGUUAGCACUCAUAGAGACAGAAGGAUAUGGAAGUAAAGACUAUAUGUAUUAUGUGAGGGAUGCUGGGUUGGGAGUAGCUGGUUUGGAGGAGAUAUGUGAUGAUGACGAGGUGGAUGAGAUGCUGGAUGACAUUGCCAAUAAAGAUCAGAACAUAAGCCACAAUGUUGAUAUGGAGCAAGGCAAUGAAGCAGAUGUUGAUAUUGAGCAAGGCAAUGGAGAUGAUGUUGACAUGGAGCAACAUGAGUUAGAAAGAAAUGACUCUGACUUGGAGGAAGAUGAGGAUUUCAUGGCUGAGCUAAGGAGGCAGAGAGAGGACCCACUCUUACACUUUGAAGGUGACACAAAUGUAGAUGAACCUUAUGAGAUACAAGAGGAAGUGCAUGAGGAAAAUGCAGAGCAAGAGGAGCAUGGAGAUCAUGAGGAACUUGAAAAGGAGGUGCUACCACAGGGGAAAAAGAGGAAGAAGUUGAAAGUAAGAAAGGGACCAACCACAAGAUCACAUGCUAUUUUGGAGCAACAGUUUGAGGAUGUUUGGGUACCAUCAUCUGAUGAGGAUCUAGAUCCCGGUGAUUUGAAGGAGGAGCAAGAUGAUGGGGCUGUACCCCUAGCAUUUGUGCUAGGCAGUAAGUCUAGGGCUAAAAACCCCAAACCAAGGGUAUGGUAUCAUGAGGAUAGAGAGAGCCCAGAGCUGCAGUUUGCUAAGAAGCUAUGCUUUGAUAAUGUGUACCAAUUUAGAAGGGCACUUCUCACUUUCCACAUAGCACAGAACAGAAACUAUCAGUUUCAUAGGAACUGCAAUGACAGAAUUAUAGUUGUGUGCACACAUGAAGACUGCCCUUUCUUCAUUGCAGCUUCUGUGGUGGGAAAAGAGAAAACUUUGUGCAUUAGGAAAACAAAUUUGCUGCACACAUGUCCAGCUGUAGCAGAGAGCACCAAGGUGACUACAAAGUGGGUUACACAUCAAGUUUUAGAAGCAAUAGGAACAGACCUGAACACACCAAUAAGUACAAUAAUGCAAAAUCUAAAGAGCAAGUAUGGAGUUGAGAUCAGCACUCAUAUGGCCUACAGGGCUAAGAACAAUGCUAUUAAGGUUUGGAUGGAUCUUUCAUCAAGCUCUCUACUGGCCAAAAAUUCCUUGCUGCCACAGGAAGGGAUGGCAAUAAUAUCUAUCCCAUUGCCUUUGGAGUUGUGGACAAAGAAGACACAAAGAGGUCUUCUAAAAGCUGUGAGCCAAGUUUUCCCCAAUUGCCCCCAAAGAUUCUGCCUUAGACACAUCUACCAAAACUUCCAGAUUGCUGGUUUUAGGGGGUCAGAAUUAAACAAGUACACGGAUAAAGCAAGUUACACCUAUACUGAACAUGGCCAUCUUGCUGCAAUGGAUGGUCUUAAAGUAGAGUGUAAGGCUGCCUGGACUUGGUUAAAUAAAAUUCCUAGACAUGCUUGGGCUAGAUAUGCCAUGGACUUCAAUUGCAAAACUGACCUAGUUGUCAACAAUAUUAGUGAGGUGUUAAACAAGAUGAUAUUAGAUGUGAGGGGUAAACCAAUAAAGACCAUGGUAGAUGGAAUCAGGACUAAGUUGAUGGUCAGGUUCAAUACAAAUAGGAUCUCUGCUAUUACCAAAGCCAAAUUAAGGCCUGGAGAUUUUGUGCAUGACUUCUUCAAAAAGCCUAUGUAUCUGGCAGCAUACAGUCCCAUCAUAUUUCCUGUACCUAGACCUGACCUCUGGCCUAAGACCAAAACUAGAGACAUAGAACCCCCAGUUUUCAAGGAUAAACCAGGGAAGAAGCAAACCAAAAGGAGAAGGAGCCAGUUUGAGCCACCAGCACCUAAAGAUACAUCUAGGAUGGCAUCAAUUACAUGCAGCAAUUGCAAUCUUGUGGGUCACAGAUACACAUCUUGCCACAAAACACUAAAGCCAGGUCUAGUAAUGAGAAAGAACAAGCAUGAGGCUGGGGGGUCGUGGCGCUCAUCGCCCGGCCAUGGUGCGCCCCUGUCGCCGUGGCGCCCAUCCGCCGCCCCCCGGCGCCUACUUAACCCGGCGCCCCUCCUCGCCAUCGCCGCUGCCCUCCCCGCUGCCGGAGACCGCGCCGGGGGCACUGCCUUCGUCGCCUACUUCGACUACGUGGGCGAGCUCGGGUCGGAAGCCACCGGGGCCCCCACUGCCUCCCCGUGCUCAGCCUUCGUCCGCCUCGGGUCGCCGGCAGCCUUCUUCCACUCCGCCCUGCCGCCAUCGUUGGCCGAACGCCUCCGCCGCAAAGCUCAUCGCCGGCCCCGUCCCGGCGACCAUUUGGUCCAGCCCCGCUGCCUUUCGCUUCCGUACAAGCCCAGGGACCCAACGCGCUCCUCCGCAGGCUUUGACUUGCCCAGCUUCGCUGGUUCCAUCGACGCCUGA
rnacentral:rRNA from 1 species